rnacentral:rRNA from 1 species
AUUGAACGCUGGCGGCAGGCCUAACACAUGCAAGUCGAGCGGAGCGGGGGAGGGGGGAGUGAUGCCUAGGAAUCUGCCUGGUCGUGGUGGAUAGGGUCCGGAAAUGGGCGCUAAUACCGCAUACUAUAAGCUGCGCCUAGGUCGGAUUAGCUAGUUGGUGGGGUAAAGGCCUACAAAGGCGACGAUCCGUAACUGGUCUGAGAGGAUGAUCAGUCACACUGGAAUUGAGACACGGUCCAGACUCCUACGGGAGGCAGCAGUGGGGAAUAUUGGACAAUGGGCGAAAGCCUGAUCCAGCCAUGCCGCGUGUGUGAAGAAGGCCUUCGGAUUGUAAAGCACUUUAAGUUGGGAGGCGUUACCAACAGAAUAAGCACCGGCUAACUUCGUGCCAGCAGCCGCGGUAAUAC